GCAUAUCAAUAAGCGGAGGAAAAGAAACCAACAGGGAUUACCUUAGUAACGGCGAGUGAAGCGGUAACAGCUCAAAUUUGAAAUCUGGGUCUUUUAGGCUCCGAGUUGUAAUUUGUAGAAGAUGCUUUGGGUGCGGCCCCGGUCUAAGUUCCUUGGAACAGGACGUCAUAGAGGGUGAGAAUCCCGUAUGUGAUCGGUGGCUUGCGCCCGUGUAAAGCUCUUUCGACGAGUCGGGUUGUUUGGGAAUGCAGCUCUAAAUGGGUGGUAAAUUUCAUCUAAAGCUAAAUAUUGGCCAGAGACCGAUAGCGCACAAGUAGAGUGAUCGAAAGAUGAAAAGCACUUUGGAAAGAGAGUUAAACAGUACGUGAAAUUGUUGAAAGGGAAGCGCUUGCAACCAGACUUGCGCGGGGUUGAUCAUCCGGGGUUCUCCCCGGUGCACUCGGCCUCGCUCAGGCCAGCAUCGGUUUUGGUGGUUGGAUAAAGGCCUUGGGAAUGUGACUUCUUUCGGGGAGUGUUAUAGCCCUCGGUGCAAUGCAGCCUACCGGGACCGAGGACCGCGCUUCGGCUAGGAUGCUGGCGUAAUGGUUGUAAGCGACCCGUCUUGAAACACGGACCAAGGAGUCUAACAUCUAUGCGAGUGUUUGGGUGUCAAACCCAUACGCGUAAUGAAAGUGAACGGAGGUGAGAACCCUUAAGGGUGCAUCAUCGACCGAUCCUGAUGUCUUCGGAUGGAUUUGAGUAAGAGCAUAGCUGUUGGGACCCGAAAGAUGGUGAACUAUGCCUGAAUAGGGUGAAGCCAGAGGAAACUCUGGUGGAGGCUCGCAGCGGUUCUGACGUGCAAAUCGAUCGUCAAAUUUGGGCAUAGGGGCGAAAGACUAAUCGAACCAUCUAGUAGCUGGUUCCUGCCGA
rnacentral:rRNA from 1 species